AGUGCAGCAAAGGUUUUAGUCACAAUGUUUAUCUCCUUGUAUAUAAAUCUAAGUUAUGUUUACACAUACUACAUCUUCAUAUUUUCUUUUCAAACAUCAAAACAGAAGCACAAAAAGCUCAGUGAAUUAUGCAGUUUGCCUUCCAGCUGAGAGAGAAACAGGACUGUCUCUUUAACGGCGUCGAUGAUGUGUUUUAAAGGGAUUGUGAGCCAGUAGUCUGGACUACAAAUGAGAGAUGCACCAAUCAGAUGCUGAUUUUAGUCCCGGGUCGGGAAUCGAUUACGAUGGGGCAAAUCCUGGGGAUAUAUUUGAAAAAAAAAAUAAUAAUCCACGUUUUAAUCCACAUGUGCAGAAUACA